rnacentral:misc_RNA from 1 species
GCAGGAUCAUAAAUAAAAAAUGAUGGGAUUAUUAUAAUGAAAGUGUAUGCUGACAUUAUAAUAAUCUUGUCUAUGUUCUAAAUACAAAAUACCUUCACGAGGUUUAGAAUGAGUGAUAUAAGGAAGUUAUAUUAGCUAAAUUUGUGUAUGUGGUAAAGGAGUUGAUUGAUUAUAAAAAGCUUGUGUAGUUAGGUGUAGAGAGUUAAUAUUUAGAGAUGUAAUCUAAGUGGUUUUGAGAAGUUUUUAUGUUCAUAAAAUCAAGUAGGUAUACUUGUAACAACACACUUAUUUCAACA